rnacentral:hammerhead_ribozyme from 1 species
AUCCAGCUGAAGAGUCCCAAAUAGAACGAAAUGCGCAUCCUGGAU